GAUGAACGCUGGCGGCGUGCCUAAUACAUGCAAGUCGAGCGAACAGAUGAGGAGCUUGCUCUUCUGACUUUAGCGGCGGACGGGUGAGUAACACGUGGAUAACCUACCUAUCAGACUGGGAUAACUUCGGGAAACCGGAGCUAAUACCGGAUAAUAUAUUGAACCGCAUGGUUCAAUAGUGAAAGACGGUUUUGCUUUCACUUAUAGAUGGAUCCGCGCCGCAUUAGCUAGUUGGUAAGGUAACGGCUUACCAAGGCAACGAUGCGUAGCCGACCUGAGAGGGUGAUCGGCCACACUGGAACUGAGACACGGUCCAGACUCCUACGGGAGGCAGCAGUAGGGAAUCUUCCGCAAUGGGCGAAAGCCUGACGGAGCAACGCCGCGUGAGUGAUGAAGGUAUUCGGAUCGUAAAACUCUGUUAUUAGGGAAGAACAAAUGUGAAAGUAACUAUGAACGUCUUGACGGUACCUAAUCAGAAAGCUACGGCUAACUACGUG
rnacentral:rRNA from 1 species